rnacentral:rRNA from 1 species
GACGAACGCUGGCGGCGUGCCUAAUACAUGCAAGUCGAACGCAUUUUCUUUCACCGUAGCUUGCUACACCGAAAGAAAAUGAGUGGCGAACGGGUGAGUAACACGUGGGUAACCUGCCCAUCAGCGGGGGAUAACACUUGGAAACAGGUGCUAAUACCGCAUAAUUCCAUUUACCGCAUGGUAGAUGGGUGCAAGGCGCUUUUGCGUCACUGAUGGAUGGACCCGCGGUGGAUUAGGUAGUUGGGGGGGUAACGGCCUACCUAGGCUGCGAUGCAUAGCCCACCGGAGAGGGGGAGCGGCCAGACUGGGACGGAGACACGGCCCAGACUCCUACGGGAGGCAGCAGUAGGGAAUCGUCGGCAAGGGACGCAAGUCUGACCGAGCAACGCCGCGGGAGGGAAGAAGGUUUUCGGAUCGUAAAACUCUGUUGUUAGAGAAGAACAAGGAUGAGAGUGGAAAGUUCAUCCCUUGACGGUAUCUAACCAGAAAGCCACGGCUAACUACGUG